UAAGACCUUAAAAUCCGUUGGCUUUAAUAAACCUUGAGGGUUCAAGUCCCUCUACCCCCA
rnacentral:tRNA from 1 species